UUUACAAUUUUUUUUUGAUAAGCCCAAUGCAUAUUAUCGGCCCAACAUUAACGUAGUGUAGAUAAUUAGCAUUUCACUCUUAUUUUUUUUGGUAAAAUUGGUUUUAACGUGUUGCUCAAUUACAUCAGCCAGCAAUCUUAUUCACCACAUUUUUCAGCCACGUAUCACUCCAAUUCUUAUCUCAUUUAAAUUACCUCAUCUCAUCUCUGAAAUUCCUGUGAAACUUCAAAUUUGCUCAAAUCUCUUCAGUCUCCUACUAUAGAACUUCAGAUGGUAAAUUUAUUUUCUGUGAUUUUAAAUCAUCGAAGCAAUUCUAGUUUCUCCUCUUUUAUAUUGAACAAAAACAUAACAGGCCUUUCUAAAUAAUUUUGUUCUUGAAUCAAAUUCAGCAUACACAUGCUUCAAAUCAAACAAUUUUCCUAAAUCAUUCACCUAAUUCAUGAGAAAAACAAAUAGAAUAAAAUUCUACUACUUUUCCAGAAAGGAAAUUAGAAAACUUGGAAUAGAAAAUAGAAGAAGUUGAAGAGGAUUUGGGGCAUAGGGUUUAGAAGGGGAAGAGAGGGCGUCUGGUGGCUGCUUCGGUGCUGCUGUCCCAGCGGCGCUACAGCUGCGCUGUUGACGGCGGAGUAGAGGCGGCAGCGGCUGGCUGCUCGCCGGAGCAGGGGGCCGGCGUCAGAUGGCUGUCUGGCCGCGACGGAGAGAGAGGUUGGGGGAGAGAGGAAGGCUGGGAAGAAAGGGGUCAGGGAGAGGGAAAGGGAGGCUGGGAAGGAGAGGGAGACGCCGGGCAGCGCCGCCGUCGGACGGCGGCGGCGGAAGACGAGGGAGGGAGAGAGGGUGCGCUGGUGUGUGUUUGAGGUGUGAGUGUGUGUUUGGGGGCUGGUGUGUCAUGUGUGUGCAGAAUGUGAGAGGGAGAGAAUGAGAUGUAG
rnacentral:lncRNA from 1 species